UCAAAUGGACAAAUGUCUGACCAUCUUGACCGCAUCUUUAAUGCCUAAUAAUGAGCACUGGCUGAUUUAAGAGGCACAGUGACAACAUUUAAUUCCCUAAAAUUAUCAUUUAGCAAACAAAAUGAUGUUUAAACUGAAAUAUGAUUUCAAGACGUUUUGUCACUGUAAUUGAAUAAUUAAGAUAUAUUGACUACUUCUUUGUCGGAAAUUGAACUGUUGAAUUACUUAGGUAUUUUUCGAUUUUAUCACAAAUGAUUAAUGACCAGUUUUCGUAGGUGUAUAUGUUUGAAAAUUAGAGGCUAGAAGUUUGAAACCAUCAAUUAGUACUCUAAUUGUUUCUUCAUAAGUAAUGUAUCUUCUUACAGAAAUUCACUGCCGGAAUGAUACGGUAUUUGGGUGUAACUUAGCGGGGCGCACAUUUGUUUGACCAUGGUACGGAACCACAGCGGUGUAAAACUUUGGUGAGAUGACUUACAGAUAAAAAGAUGUUUAACAGUUACCUAUGAAGUUUCCAGCCCUUCUGUCCACUCACAUGUCCAGCUUAGCGUCAGCAAUCCUGAUGGAUGACCAUCCCAUAAUGCUCCCGGACAGGAAACAACUUUUGUUGCCAUGGGAGACAAGGAAAGCAUUCCUCAUUUGUGCCAGGAAUUUCUACAGAUGAACAAAACAGGUUGGAUGAUUUGAUGGAUCUGGUCGGGGAAAUGUGAUCACUUACCAAACAUAAAUAUUUACCCAGCAAUGACUCUGGUGUGUUCAAAGAUACAUGUAUCCCCCAACAUAACAUACCUUGCCACCAGGUACCACAUCAGGUAAUUAAUUACAGGUAUAAACAAGGCUAGCCCUGGUUCUCUUGAUCUGCUGAUGUAUGGGGGCAGCAUGAUAGAAAUGUUUUUGGUAUCUGUAAGUAGACAACUAUAAACAGAAGCUGUCUGGUGAUUUAUGCCAAAAGAGAAACACUUGUUACCCCAUUUUAUUGCCUGACCAGCACAC